UCCAAAUCGACGAUCGGCUCCGUUAGACUUGAUCUGUACUAUUAAAAGUAUUUAGAAACUAAUUUUUAUAAUUUUUCAACAUCAUUUAUCUAUCAAACGAGUAGUCUAAAAAUAAACGGUUGAAAAUAAAAAUCUUAUAAAAAAUGAUGAGAAAAGAUUUGAAUUUAAGAUCAGAGAUACUGAUCUUACUCUAAAUAGUGAAGAGAAUUUUUUAUAAAAAAUUCAUCAGAUUUGGAUUGUUUUACAUUAUUAAAUUCACAAACACAUCACAUCGAUUAUUAAAAUUGACAAUUUUGAGACUUUUGAUCACUAGCCAAAUGAUGCCGACGAAUUAUGAAAUUUAAUUUUGAAAUAUUUUUAAUAGUAUAGAUCAAGUUUAAUGAAGUCGCUUGUCGAUUUGGACACCGCAUUAUUAAAACAACUUGAUAGCACAGAGGCCUCCGUGCUACCGAUAGUAUGCCUGUCUAGCGCUCUCUCUCUCUCUCUGUGUG
rnacentral:lncRNA from 1 species